rnacentral:misc_RNA from 1 species
GCAAACUUGGUCAUUUAGAGGAAGUAAAAGUCGUAACAAGGUUUCCGUAGGUGAACCUGCGGAAGGAUCAUUAACAAUUAUCCACGAUCAUGGAUAAUUUUAUCCAUAUCCACCUUGUGUGAAUCUACUGAAGUGUUUGUUGGCAGGUUUAUAAGACUUUCUCCGCAACAGAGAAAGUUCUGUGAGUUCGGAGAUUAUUCCUUGCUCGGCCUGCCAAUUUUAUGUUUAAACAGGUCUAAAUACUGUUGGUCUGAAAUAUUUAUUUUAUAAUAAAUACAACUUUCAACAACGGAUCUCUUGGCUCUCGCAUCGAUGAAGAACGCAGC